CAAUUUGGGGAGAAUCUAGGAGGGUCGUUCCUGUGUCUUCAUCCUCUGGCCCUUGGCCCAGCCUUCAUCAUCUUCAUGAAUUUUUGAACUUUCUUGAUUUUGGCAGACUUCAUGGUGAAUUUUGCAAGAUUCUUGGACUCAAGCCCCACUUUGCCCCAUUAUCUUACUUAGGUUGUGUGUGUGUGCAUUCUGUUUAGUGUACAGUACCACCUAAUCUCUAGUACCACCUAAUCUCUAUCUCUAGGUUCUGGCAGUACAUCCUAGCUGAGUAUUGGCAAAGUUCUUUGUGCUUUCGUUUAUACUUAUAUUCCUAUAUUCUGCUUAUAUUCCUAUAUUCUACUUAUAUUCCUAUAUUCUGACUUAUAUUCUGCUUUCUAGGCCUUGUCUGGCUUCAGUUCUUAGCGAUUUUCUUGGAUGCCUAGAUUCCAGCCAGGGUCAACCCGCAACAAGUGGAAUUUAUUACACGGAAAGUUCACGGAAGUGAUCAAACAUACAAGCUUUGGCAAGGAUAGGCCCUCAGACUGCUGUGGAAGUCUUCUGUGGAAAAAGUUAGUGAGCGCAGGGAACUGGAGCAGAGGAAGUGACAGGCAGAGCUGAAAGUCCGUGCACCCGUCCGCACUCGUCCACGCUGCAGCUGGAGUCACCAGGAUGGGGGGAGGUUCAAGAUCGCUACUGACAUUCAGCUGUCACGGCUUCAUUGUCUGCAUGCCUUCCCUUCAAGAGUACUUUUUCAGCACCACAAAGAGCUAGUCAACUGAUACCAUUGCACUCACCCCAGGUACUUGUUCGGGAUCGUUGAUACAGCCUCAGGUUUAUUCAUUAGCCGAGCCAUUGAAAUUGUGGCUUGCCCAGCUCUUCUCCUAACAACACAAGUUCACUUGUUUGGUCCAAAUAUUUAACUAUAUUUGUUUAAAGUUUCGCACGUUAUUCCUUAAUUGAGGUUAUGUUUUCUACAUUUUAAUGCCAUGUCAUUUGUGUCCAGUAAAAGAUUAUGUGAAGAACCCUACCAUUUACCACACUGAUUUAAAUAUAGCCAUCUGUGGAGAAUAAAAAUAUACAUAAAAGAUGUAACA
rnacentral:lncRNA from 1 species